rnacentral:rRNA from 1 species
UACGAAGGGGGCUAGCGUUGUUCGGAUUCACUGGGCGUAAAGGGUGCGUAGGCGGUCGGAUAAGUCUGAUGUGAAAUCUUCGAGCUCAACUCGGAAACUGCAUCGGAAACUAUUCGGCUGGAGGAUUGGAGGGGAGACUGGAAUUCUCGGUGUAGCAGUGAAAUGCGUAGAUAUCGAGAGGAACACCAGUGGCGAAGGCGAGUCUCUGGACAAUUCCUGACGCUGAGGCACGAAAGCUAGGGGAGCAAACAGG